rnacentral:rRNA from 1 species
GACGAACGCUGGCGGCGUGCUUAACACAUGCAAGUCGAACGGGCCUUGUCCCCUUUUUUUUUGGGGGCGGGGUUAGUGGCGAACGGGUGAGUAACACGUGAGUAACCUGCCCCUCACUUCUGGAUAACCGCUUGAAAGGGUGGCUAAUACGGGGUGUUCUGGCCUGCUCGCAUGGGUGGGUUUGGAAAGAUUCGACCGGUUUUGGUUGUUUUGGUGGGGGAUGGGCUCGCGGCCUAUCAGCUUGUUGGUGGGGUGAUGGCCUGCCAAGGCUUUGACGGGUAGCCGGCCUGAGAGGGUGGGCGGUCACACUGGGACUGAGACACGGCCCAGACUCCUACGGGAGGCAGCAGUGGGGAAUAUUGCACAAUGGGCGCAAGCCUGAUGCAGCGACGCCGCGUGAGGGAUGGAGGCCUUCGGGUUGUGAACCUCUUUCGCCAGUGAAGAAGGUCCUGCUCUUUGUGGUGGGGUUGACGGUAGCUGGGUUAAUGAAGCGCCGGCUAACUACGUG